AGAUUGAACGCUGGCGGCAUGCCUUACACAUGCAAGUCGAACGGCAGCACGGGAGCAAUCCUGGUGGCGAGUGGCGAACGGGUGAGUAAUAUAUCGGAACGUGCCCAGUCGUGGGGGAUAACGCAGCGAAAGCUGUGCUAAUACCGCAUACGAUCUAUGGAUGAAAGCGGGGGAUCGCAAGACCUCGCGCGAUUGGAGCGGCCGAUAUCAGAUUAGCUAGUUGGUGGGGUAAAAGCCUACCAAGGCGACGAUCUGUAGCUGGUCUGAGAGGACGACCAGCCACACUGGAACUGAGACACGGUCCAGACUCCUACGGGAGGCAGCAGUGGGGAAUUUUGGACAAGUGGGCGCGAAGCCUGAUCCAGCAAUGCCGCGUGCAGGAUGAAGCCUUCGGUUGUAAACUGCUUUUGUACGAACGUAACGUCUCUCGUAACGUACGGGGACUAAGUGACGGUACGUAAG
rnacentral:rRNA from 1 species